CCCCCCCCCCCCCCCCCCCCCCCCCCCCCCCCCCCCCCCCCAGCGGUGACACCGCUGAGGCGGGCACCGGGUGGGCGCUCCCCGGGCUCAGGGACGAGGGGGCGGCACCCCGCGGGCACCGGGUGGGGCCGGGGGUCCCCGAAGGUGCGCUCCAGCCCUUACCUUCUGCCGGGAGCGCGGCAGCGGGACGCGUCCUCCUCCUCCGGCUGCUCCUGGGUCUGUGGACGGCGCGGCCGCGGGGAAUCGGGCAGGGCAGCGAGUGCCGCCCGCAGUGCCCAGGGGCUGUGGCUCAGCCGCGGCUCCAAGCGCUGGGGCUGUCGGGGAUUGCAAACACCCCGCCCGCCCUUCUUUCUUUCCUUCCUUCCUUCACUGCCUCCUUCCUUCUCUCCCUCCCUCCUUCGCUCUCUCCCUCCCUCCUUCCCUCACACCCCGCGCCGCCGCUCGGCUCCCCCCGCCCCCCUCCCAGCGGCGCUCCCAUUGGCCGCGCGCCGCCCACGUGGGCCUCGCGCACGGCUCGGGACGCGGGCGAGCGGUGCCGCUGCCAACGACAGAGCGCUCGGGGCGGGGUGGGCACCGCACCGCUUCUCUCCAUUCCCAGCGCCGUCCCCAUCCCGAAGGAGACGGGCGCGGACGCCCGCAGGGCGACGGGAAAUAACAGGCUCGCGGGAUGCCGCGGACGGACGGGGCUGGGACGGGGAACAGGCGCGAGCAGUGCGCAUGCGCGAGGGGGGGUUGCUGGGGCAGCCGCGCAUCCUCUUGGGCUGCGGCCGCUGGAACCUUCUGGAAAUGGCGGCGGCGGCCCCCCCCCCCCCCCCCCCCCCCCCCCCCCCCCCCCCCCCCCCCCCCCCCCCCCCGGUCACGGGGCGAGGUGGCGGACGAGAGCUUUUCCGGUCCCGGCCGCGGGACGGGAGCCGACCUACAGGCACCAGAGCGCCCCGCUUUGCCUCGCCCCGUCCUGCUGCUGCCGCCCCCUCCCCGGGGAGGGGUUUUUCCGGCGGUGGUGGCGCAGUGAGUUUUAACUAUCCGGCGUAG
rnacentral:lncRNA from 1 species